GGAUUCAAAAUUGGCGCUAUUUUGAAGUCACCUGUACAACAUUUAAUCAUUCAUCUUUGGAUGUUUCCGUGGAAAAUAAUAAAUGGAUUUAAGAAAAAAUCUCGAGCUACUACCUUUGAUUGUCAAACAUUGAAUAAAUUAUUAUUACUUUGAAUAGUAAUAAUACAGGUGUAUUGUAUAAACGUGUUAUCACAGUUAGUUCUAGUUAAUCGUGUAUAUUGUAUAUACUACGUUUGACUCUGGAAAAUUUCAAAGCUUGAGAAAAUUUAUUUAUAGUAUAAGUAGUACCAUGUCGUAUCGAUACAAACCUCGUGGUGGACCUCUUCUACAUUGGAUCAUGUCAUUCGCCUUCUGAUUCAGCACAAAUUUAGACGUUUCAAUUUACAACGCAUAAUAUCUUUUAAUAGUUGUUGUUGUUAAUGUGGUGAACGACACUAAGGACAACAUUAAUAUAUUCCUUUGUAUUUCAUUGUUUGUUUUGUUCUUUUCAUUAUUGGGUGCACUCUCUAAUCGAAGAUGAAGAAAUUACGAUCAAGUAUUUUUCAUGACAUUUAUUAUCAACCAUAUGAUGACUAUUCCAGGCAUAAGUUGUACUCUAGCAGCAAAGCUAGUUUACAACUUAUACAACGUAUGUCAUUGCUGAAGAGAUUAAAAGUUCAUAGUGGUUGUGUCAAUUCUAUAUGUUGGAAUAGUACUGGUAAUAUAAUAUUAUCUGGUAGCGAUGAUCAGUACCUUGUGCUUACCGAUGUUUAUAAUUAUCGGGUUUUAACUCAACAUAGAACAAGUCACAGAGCUAAUAUAUUCAGUGCCAAAUUUUUGCCAAAUAGCGGUGACCACCGUAUAGUCUCAUGUAGCGGCGAUGGCAUUAUUUUAUAUACAGAUUUAAGGAGACGAACAGAAACGUUUCAUAAUCAGUUUGCAUGUCAUACCGGUACUACUUAUGAAGUAGCCACGAUACCAGGUGAACCUCAUAGUUUCUUAAGUUGCGGGGAAGAUGGAACUGUGAGAUGGUUUGAUCUCAGAGUAAAGGAAAAAUGUAAUGUGGCAAGAUGCAGAGAGGAUGUAUUAAUUUCUUGCCAAAGAGCUGUAACUGCUUUAUCCGUUAAUCCUGUAAUGCCUCAUCAAAUUGCAAUUGGUUGUUCGGAUAGUACCGUCAGAACAUUUGACAGAAGAAUGCUUGGAACACAGGCUACAGGCUGGACAGAUAGCAGUGAAUCUGUAAGACCACUAUGCAGUUUUACAGUGCCAGAUUUUGAUGGGAAUUCUUACAGAAUAACAUCCUUAAGUUACAGUCCAGAUGGACAAGAUGUUCUUGUUAGCUAUAGUAGCGAUCAUUUAUAUUUAUUUAGUAUGAAGGAUCAAAGUAACGUACAUUUAAGAAAAGAUGUACAAAUGGGAAAAGUCAUGGGUAAGAAACAACAUCCAUUGAGAUCUCCUCAGCCUGUACGUCGAUUGAGAUUACGAGGAGAUUGGUCAGAUACAGGACCGGAUGCACGUCCCGAACGAGAAGGUGGUCGACGUAGCGGAACAGAAAUUGCUCAAGCAAGACCAACUUUACAUACUUCAUUGAUGCAAAGGAUGACAAAUGUCCUUAGCAGAAUGUUGAAUGAUCCAGCGACGCGUGCUGCUUUAAGUGGUGGUGGAGAAGAUAGUUUAGAACAAGAAAAUAAUCAACGUGGUAACGAUAAUAGCACUGCGCCUACCGCAGAUCUACAACGAAUAGAAACAGGAAUAGAAACAGGAAUAGAAACAGGAAUAGAAACGGAUAGUGAUAUACAAGCGCAAGAAAAUAUGUUGUCUCUCGACCAAUCUGAAAGUGCAAGUAACGAUGAUCAUCAAGUUUCAAUUGAUGCAGCAAUACAAGGUUCAUCUGUUUCAACGAAUAACUUUGAUACCGAAGAACCAAUAAACAAUGAUUUAGAUGAUAUUCAAGCUACAGAAACUCAAACUAAUUUAUUAGAAUCAUCAAAUAAUACUUCGAAUAAUUCGGCAGAAACUAGAAGCAGCGAUGAAGAGUGUGAUGAGACAGAAGGAGAAAGUAGCAAUGCAGAGACAAGUUGUCAUAACGAUAAGAGAGAAGAAAAUAUGAUGGAAAAUCUUCAAGAUAGAUUAACGACUAUGAGAGAUGGAUUUUUAGAAAGACAUGGAAGUGAACCAGCUGUUAGUUUAACAUAUUCUGAUAAAAGUUCGACUAGAGCUACUAUAUCGUUAGGUGUAGCGAAUGAAGUUAUUCGAGAUAGUUAUCACGCAGGACCAUCUGGAAGUCAGAGUAACGAACGUCUUGAUCCAGGCCCAAGUAAUAGUUAUAAAAAACGUAUGCUAUAUAGAAAUACUCAAGAAAAGAGUGAUGACAGCGCUUAUAUUGAUAGCGAUGAUGAGGAUGUACCAACCCAUCAUAGAUUGGUACAUCCAGUUGAAGCUGAAAUGGAUGAAGCUAUUGCAAAUGCUCGUACGUCACAAGGCGAGGAAUCAUUUGAUGAGACAUAUUUAACAGAGCUUUGCGUUAAACAAAAAUAUACGGGCCAUCGAAAUGCCAGUUUCUUUAGGACCAUGAUCAAAGAAGCCAAUUUCUGGGGAAACGACUUCGUCAUGUCGGGUAGUGAUUGUGGACAUGUAUUCGUAUGGGAAAGAGAUACUGCAAAAUUAUGCAUGUUGCUCGAAGCCGAUCAACAUGUCGUUAAUUGUCUCCAACCGCAUCCUUAUUUACCAAUGUUGGCCACAUCAGGAAUUGAUUAUGAUGUUAAAUUGUGGGCACCUAUCAACGAAGAGUGCACUUUUGACGACAAAUUUGCCGAAGAUUUGAAAAAGAGAAAUGCUGUUAUGCUGGAAGAAACCAAAGAUACAAUUACAGUACCUGCCGUUUUUAUGAUCAGAAUGUUGGCAUGCUUGAAUCAGAUACGCAGAGGUCGCGGUCGCAGCCGAAGGAGGAGCGGAGACGAGAAUGACGAAUUACGAGGUGGAUAAUACAUUUUGCAAGAUCUCUCUCACAAGUUUUAAGAAAUGAUCAAUUCAAGCCUAAGUUUUAACGAAGCAAAGAUGAUAGCAUUUACGAUGACUAAAGGUGCAAUGUGAUCUGCUCUAUUGGAAAGUAAUUUAAAAGGAAAGAAACAAUAAAAAUAAUUUCUUUUAUGCUUGAGAAAAUAACAUAAGCGUAGAGUACAUUUUUAGGCCGGUAAUUGUAACAGUAGACUGAGUCAAAAAUUCAAUGAAAUUAAUGUUAUAUCUUAUUUAUGGUCAGGUCUGGAUUAGAAAGAUGAUUAGAAAGAUGAUUUGUUUGAACCUAAGCGUUAUGUAUUUACCGCGAAAUACAAUAACCGUACAAUAAGAAAAUCAAUCCUUUUAUGUAUAUAUAUAUAGAUAUAGAUAUAUUUAUAUGUAGUCUAUUUUUGUUUUCUAAAAAUAAAAGAAGAAAUGCAAUGUAGGUAAUCAUGAUUGUCCAUUUAGUUUGUCCACUAGGACAAAACAAAUAAUCAGGUGUGCCUUAAAAUUGGUCUUGGCUUCUUUUACAAACCAAAAAUCACACACAUAAAAAGGAAAUAGAAGUUGCGCUUCCACCUUUUAAUCGAUAGCCUCACCUCUUAAAGGUGUCAAAGUAGUAUUACAAGUGUAUUCAAAAUAACGAGCAUUGUAUACUUAAUUAUCAAUCAAAUGUAUGUUUCGUAAUAUAUCUAUUCAAUUGAUUUUAUAAUAAACAAAAAAAGAAUAUAUAUAUACAUAAAAGAG